rnacentral:lncRNA from 1 species
CUCUACCCAAGGGUAUGGGUAAGGUCUGCGUACACACUACCAUCCCCAGACCUCACUAAGUGGGAUUAUACUGGGUUGUUGUUGUUGUUGUUGUUCAUCUAGUACAGCCCUAAGCUUUGUAAAUUUCUUUUCUCUUUCCCUUCGGUCAGCCCUUCGAUCUCUUAAGUUAUUUUGCAUCGACCUUGGGAUAUUCCUGAUAAUUUCAGG